GACGAACGCUGGCGGCGUGCCUAAUACAUGCAAGUCGAACGCAGUGGCGAACGGGUGAGUAACGCGUCGGUAACUGCCUCAUAGCGGGGGAUAACUAUUGGAAACGGUAGCUAAUACCGCAUACUUUGAGAUGGACCUGAGUUGUAUUUGGUUGUUGGUGAGGUUAAGGCUCACCAAGGCCACGAUACAUAACCGACCGGAGAGGGUGGACGGGCCACAUGGGACUUAGACAACGGCCCGAAUCCCUCCGGAAGCAGGCGGAGGGAAUCUUCGGAAAUGGGGGGAAGGCCUGCCGAGGAACGGCGCCGGGGUGAAUGAGGUUCUCGGAUCGGAAAGCUCUGUUGAUAGGGGAGCGGUAACUAACCAGAAAGGGACGGCUAACUACGUGCCAGCAGCCGCGGUAAUAC
rnacentral:rRNA from 1 species